UACGGAGGAUGCAAGCAUUGUCCGGUUUUAUUGGGUUAAAAGGGUGCGUAGGCGGCCUAUUAAGUUAGUGGUGAAAACGUUCGGCUUAACCGGAUACCCGCCAUUGAUACCGAUAGACUUGAGUGCGACAGAGGGUGUUGGAAUGUGUGGUGUAGCGGUGAAAUGCUUAGAUAUCACGCAGAACACCAAUUGCGAAGGCAGAUGCCUAUGUCGUAACUGACGCUGAGGCACGAAAGCGUGGGGAGCAAACAGG
rnacentral:rRNA from 1 species